rnacentral:rRNA from 1 species
GGUUAAGCGACUAAGCGUACACGGUGGAUGCCCUGGCAGUCAGAGGCGAUGAAGGACGUGCUAAUCUGCGAAAAGCGCCGGCGAGGUGAUAUGAACCUUUGACCCGGCGAUGUCCGAAUGGGGAAACCCAGUGCAAUCCGUUGCACUAUCGUUAACUGAAUACAUAGGUUAACGAGGCGAACCGGGGGAACUGAAACAUCUAAGUACCCCGAGGAAAAGAAAUCAACCGAGAUUCCCCCAGUAGCGGCGAGCGAACGGGGAGCAGCCCGGAGUCUGAAUCAGCUUGUGUGUUAGUGGAACGGUCUGGAAAGUCCGACGGUACAGGGUGAUAGUCCCGUACACGAAAGCACACUUGCUGUGAACUCGAAGAGUAGGGCGGGACACGUGGUAUCCUGUCUGAAUAUGGGGGGACCAUCCUCCAAGGCUAAAUACUCCUGACUGACCGAUAGUGAACCAGUACCGUGAGGGAAAGGCGAAAAGAACCCCGGCGAGGGGAGUGAAAAAGAACCUGAAACCGUGUACGUACAAGCAGUGGGAGCCUCUUUAUGGGGUGACUGCGUACCUUUUGUAUAAUGGGUCAGCGACUUAUAUUCUGUAGCAAGGUUAACCGUAUAGGGGAGCCGAAGGGAAACCGAGUCUUAACUGGGCGUUAAGUUGCAGGGUAUAGACCCGAAACCCGGUGAUCUAGCCAUGGGCAGGUUGAAGGUUGGGUAACACUAACUGGAGGACCGAACCGACUAAUGUUGAAAAAUUAGCGGAUGACCUGUGGCUGGGGGUGAAAGGCCAAUCAAACCGGGAGAUAGCUGGUUCUCCCCGAAAGCUAUUUAGGUAGCGCCUCGUGAACUCAUCUUCGGGGGUAGAGCACUGUUUCGGCUAGGGGGCCAUCCCGGCUUACCAACCCGAUGCAAACUACGAAUACCGAAGAAUGUUAUCACGGGAGACACACGGCGGGUGCUAACGUCCGUCGUGAAGAGGGAAACAACCCAGACCGCCAGCUAAGGUCCCAAAGUCAUGGUUAAGUGGGAAACGAUGUGGGAAGGCACAGACAGCCAGGAUGUUGGCUUAGAAGCAGCCAUCAUUUAAAGAAAGCGUAAUAGCUCACUGGUCGAGUCGGCCUGCGCGGAAGAUGUAACGGGGCUAAACCAUGCACCGAAGCUGCGGCAGCGACGCUUAGGCGUUGUUGGGUAGGGGAGCGUUCUGUAAGCCGUUGAAGGUGUGCUGUGAGGCAUGCUGGAGGUAUCAGAAGUGCGAAUGCUGACAUAAGUAACGAUAAAGCGGGUGAAAAGCCCGCUCGCCGGAAGACCAAGGGUUCCUGUCCAACGUUAAUCGGGGCAGGGUGAGUCGACCCCUAAGGCGAGGCCGAAAGGCGUAGUCGAUGGGAAACAGGUUAAUAUUCCUGUACUUGGUGUUACUGCGAAGGGGGGACGGAGAAGGCUAUGUCAGCCGGGCGACGGUUGUCCCGGUUUAAGCAUGUAGGCGGAGGUUCCAGGUAAAUCCGGUACCUUAUUAACGCUGAGGUGUGAUGACGAGGCACUACGGUGCUGAAGUGAUAAAUGCCCUGCUUCCAGGAAAAGCCUCUAAGCAUCAGGUAACACGAAAUCGUACCCCAAACCGACACAGGUGGUCAGGUAGAGAAUACCAAGGCGCUUGAGAGAACUCGGGUGAAGGAACUAGGCAAAAUGGUGCCGUAACUUCGGGAGAAGGCACGCUGAUGUGUAGGUGAAGUCCCUGCGGACGGAGCUGAAAUCAGUCGAAGAUACCAGCUGGCUGCAACUGUUUAUUAAAAACACAGCACUGUGCAAACACGAAAGUGGACGUAUACGGUGUGACGCCUGCCCGGUGCCGGAAGGUUAAUUGAUGGGGUUAGCGGCAACGCGAAGCUCUUGAUCGAAGCCCCGGUAAACGGCGGCCGUAACUAUAACGGUCCUAAGGUAGCGAAAUUCCUUGUCGGGUAAGUUCCGACCUGCACGAAUGGCGUAAUGAUGGCCAGGCUGUCUCCACCCGAGACUCAGUGAAAUUGAACUCGCUGUGAAGAUGCAGUGUACCCGCGGCAAGACGGAAAGACCCCGUGAACCUUUACUAUAGCUUGACACUGAACACUGGUCCUUGAUGUGUAGGAUAGGUGGGAGGCUUUGAAGCGUGGACGCCAGUCUGCGUGGAGCCAACCUUGAAAUACCACCCUUUAAUGGCUGGUGUUCUAACGUAGACCCGUAAUCCGGGUUGCGGACAGUGUCUGGUGGGUAGUUUGACUGGGGCGGUCUCCUCCCAAAGAGUAACGGAGGAGCACGAAGGUUGGCUAAUCCUGGUCGGACAUCAGGAGGUUAGUGCAAUGGCAUAAGCCAGCUUGACUGCGAGCGUGACGGCGCGAGCAGGUGCGAAAGCAGGUCAUAGUGAUCCGGUGGUUCUGAAUGGAAGGGCCAUCGCUCAACGGAUAAAAGGUACUCCGGGGAUAACAGGCUGAUACCGCCCAAGAGUUCAUAUCGACGGCGGUGUUUGGCACCUCGAUGUCGGCUCAUCACAUCCUGGGGCUGAAGUAGGUCCCAAGGGUAUGGCUGUUCGCCAUUUAAAGUGGUACGCGAGCUGGGUUUAGAACGUCGUGAGACAGUUCGGUCCCUAUCUGCCGUGGGCGCUGGAGAAUUGAGGGGGGCUGCUCCUAGUACGAGAGGACCGGAGUGGACGCAUCACUGGUGUUCGGGUUGUCAUGCCAAUGGCACUGCCCGGUAGCUAAAUGCGGAAAAGAUAAGUGCUGAAAGCAUCUAAGCACGAAACUUGCCCCGAGAUGAGUUCUCCCUGAGACUUUAAGUCUCCUGAAGGAACGUUGAAGACGACGACGUUGAUAGGUCGGGUGUGUAAGCGCAGCGAUGCGUUGAGCUAACCGAUACUAAUGAACCGUGAGGCUUAACCUU